rnacentral:rRNA from 2 species
UACGUAGGGGGCAAGCGUUGUCCGGAUUUAUUGGGCGUAAAGAGCGUGUAGGCGGCUAUACAGGUCCGUUGUGAAAACUGGAGGCUUAACCUCCAGACGUCGAUGGAAACCGUAUGGCUAGAGUCCGGAAGAGGAGAGUGGAAUUCCUGGUGUAGCGGUGAAAUGCGCAGAUAUCAGGAAGAACACCCGUGGCGAAGGCGGCUCUCUGGGACGGUACUGACGCUGAGACGCGAAAGCGUGGGGAGCGAACAGG